CGGGCAGCGGGGCGCCUGUCAGUUGAGUCUCGACGGCGCCAAGCGCACCCCAGGCGCACCUCGAGCUCGGCCUGGGGUCACACCCCCGCGCUGCGGGCUCUGCGGGCUGCAGGCAUGACCGGACCGCAAAGCAGGGGCCCGACAGCUCCCAUGGUCUUCAGUAAUGGAUUUAUAUUGUUACAAGACUGCGAGGGUGAUUUGUUUUGCAGUUUGCCGCCCUGGAUUACAAAUGCUCCGUGAUCCAAGCGUCCGUCUUCGUUCUGCCCUCGCCGUUACAUGCUCCGUCUUCAUCUGCUCCAGCUGCUACAACAAAACGCCGCAGACCAGGGAGCUUGUAAACAGCCGAGACUUGCUGCUCCCCGUUCUGGAGGCUGGAAGUCUGAGAUCAGGGUACCGGCGCAGCUGGACCGGGGCUCUCCUGGGCCUCAGGUUUCUCCUCGGUCCUCCCAAGGAAGAAGGGCCUGUUCCCUGACAGCACUGAUUCCGUUCAGGAGGGCUCCACCUUCACGACCUGAUCGCCCCCCAAAGGCCCCGCCUCCUCAUUCCAUCACGUGGGAGGUCAGGCUUUCAGCAGGAGAAUCUGGGCAGGGGCACGCACAGACAGCAGCUGGCUCAGUCAAGGCAGAGUGCGGCGGUCAUCGUGCAGAGUGCUCUCAGCGCUGCAGUGCGAUUGCCCCGACAUCUUCCCCUGCAGGGCGCAUCUUUGUUUGUGGAUCGUCUCUCAGGGAAACAGUGAUGGAAUAUAUUCUGCCGUGUCCUUGACACUCAACCAGUGUUGACUUGGAUCCUGUUUCGGGGCAGUUAAGCCAGUUGGCGGGGGUGUGGAGAACCUUUGGUGGCGCUUGCACUAGGGGGGACGGCAUGGUGUGUUCCCCUGGGCUCUGGGCAGAUGCCCGAUCCCAUUAGCUGUCUCCACAGGAGUGUAAGCACAGCUCAGACCCCCGCAUCCUCCAGACCGUGGGUGCUGACGUCCUCAUGGGCUGUGAAUACAGAGAGGAAAAGCUCUUGCAUUAAGAAACCCCCAUGAAUCUUCCCUGUUUCUCAGAGUCCCCUUGGGAGUCAUUGUUGGUCAUUUCAUUUUUCUUACUCGACUUUUAAGAUUCUUGGGUAAGGAAAAAAAUAAAUGUUUUUUUCUUGUUCCUUCUUUUUUUGGUUACUUCCCAGUGGCAAAGCUUAUAAAGAAAUAAUGGGGCUGAAAAAUGUGAAGUGGGACAUAAAUUCUGAAACACCCCAGAAAGUGUUGAGUUCAGAGUCAGUGUUGGCAAAAUCCAUCUAAAGCAUAACUCCUCCAAAAGGGGAAAGCACC
ensembl:lncRNA